AAGCAAUGGCUUCUUAGGUUUU
rnacentral:miRNA from 2 species